AAUUUUCUCACCUUUCUCCUCUCACGCGGCGUCGGCGCUUCCUCUUUCGGGCGAAACGGAACCGGAGCUAGGGUUCUUCCUUCGGCGGGCGGCGAGGGGUUGUUCCGAGAGCUUCUCAUAUCUUCGGGACCGUCUCACCAAGGAGAACAAGAAGAUAGGGAGAGAUCGUCGAGAAAGCGAGUUUAUCCGAACCCUAGAGCUGCCUUUCUCCUUCGGUCGUGAGCUCAAGAAUGCACUAUAAAGGAAAAGAAAAGAUUUAGCAAGAAAGGCGACAAGGUGGUGCGGAUGGUGUGUGAUGCGUGGACUGUGGGAGAGAUCAGGGGAAUUGAGUCACACUUUAUGUUUUGUGUCAAUAGAGAUUGAUAAAGAGUUGUUUCUAUUUUUCUGAUGUUGCUAUUGAGUCUAUUCCGCAUUGUUUGUUUGGUUGUUUCCAUUGUUGGAGUUUUAUUCAUUUACCAUUGCUAGAUUAGUUUUUUUUAA